rnacentral:rRNA from 1 species
GACGAACCGUGCGAACGUUGUUCGGAAUCACUGGGCUUAAAGGGCGCGUAGGCGGUCUCCCAAGUCCGGGGUGAAAUCUUUCGGCCUAACCGGAAAAGGGCCUUGGAUACUGGGGGACUCGAGGGGGGUAGGGGCAAGCGGAACUUCCGGUGGAGCGGUGAAAUGCGUUGAUAUCAAGAGGAACACCUGAGGUGAAGACGGGUUGCUGGGCUGACACUGACGCUGAGGCGCGAAAGCCAGGGGAGCAAACGGG